GACGAACGCUGGCGGCGUGCCUAAUACAUGCAAGUUGAGCGCUGAAGGUUGGUACUUGUACCAACUGGAUGAGCAGCGAACGGGUGAGUAACGCGUGGGGAAUCUGCCUUUGAGCGGGGGACAACAUUUGGAAACGAAUGCUAAUACCGCAUAAAAACUUUAAACACAAGUUUUAAGUUUGAAAGAUGCAAUUGCAUCACUCAAAGAUGAUCCCGCGUUGUAUUAGCUAGUUGGUGAGGUAAAGGCUCACCAAGGCGAUGAUACGUAGCCGACCUGAGAGGGUGAUCGGCCACAUUGGGGCUGAGACACGGCCCAAACUCCUACGGGAGGCAGCAGUAGGGAAGCUUCGGCAAUGGACGAAAGUCUGACCGAGCAACGCCGCGUGAGUGAAGAAGGUUUUCGGAUCGUAAAACUCUGUUGGUAGAGAAGAACGUUGGUGAGAGUGGAAAGCUCAUCAAGUGACGGUAACUACCCAGAAAGGGACGGCUAACUACGUG
rnacentral:rRNA from 1 species